CCUACGGGAGGCAGCAGUGAGGAAUAUUGGUCAAUGGACGCAAGUCUGAACCAGCCAUGCCGCGUGCAGGAAGACGGCUCUAUGUGUUGUAAACUUCUUUUGUACGAGGGUAAACGCAGAUACGCGUAUCUGUCUGAGAGUAUCGUACGAAUAAGGAUCGGCUAACUCCGUGCCAGCAGCCGCGGUAAUACGGAGGAUUCAAGCGUUAUCCGGAUUUAUUGGGGUUAAAGGGUGCGUAGGCGGUCGGAUAAGUUAGCGGGGAAAUACCAGGGCGCAACUUCGGAAUUGCCUGUGAUACUGGCAGGCUAGAGAGGAGUAGAGGUAGGCGGAAGGCACGGUGUAGCGGUGAAAUGCUUAGAGAUCACACAGAACACCGAUUGCGAAGGCAGCAUACCAAGCUACUUCUGACGCUGAGGCACGAAAGCGUGGGUAGCAAACAGGAUUAGAUACCCCAGUAGUC
rnacentral:rRNA from 1 species